rnacentral:rRNA from 1 species
UGCCAGCCGCCGCGGUAAUACGAAGGUGGCGAGCGUUAUUCGGAUUUAUUGGGCGUAAAGGGUUCGUAGGGGGUUUAUUAAGUUUGGUGUGAAAUACCGAGGCUCAACCUCGGAACUGCACUGAAAACUGGUAGACUAGAGCAUAGGAGAGGAGAGUGGAAUUCCUGGUGUAGCGGUGGAAUGCGUAGAUAUCAGGAGGAACACCGAUGGCGAAGGCAGCUCUCUGGACUAUUGCUGACCCUGAGGGACGAAAGCUAGGGGAGCGAACAGGAUUAGAUA